UACGUAGGGGGCAAGCGUUGUCCGGAUUUAUUGGGCGUAAAGAGCGUGUAGGCGGCUUGGUAGGUCCGCUGUGAAAACUCGAGGCUCAACCUCGAGAUGUCGGCGGAAACCACUUGGCUAGAGUCCGGAAGAGGAGAGUGGAAUUCCCGGUGUAGCGGUGAAAUGCGUAGAUAUCAGGAGGAACACCUGUGGCGAAGGCGUCCAUCUGGCCCGUUACUGACGCUGAUGCGCGAAAGCUAGGGGAGCAAACGGG
rnacentral:rRNA from 1 species